ACCCUAUUAUUUACCCUAUUCAUGUAGCCAUCCCAUAAUAGGCCUUUGCUGGGUGCCCUUAGCGCUACGUUUCGGCCCUAUUUUGGCCUUCAUCAGGCGUGGGUCACCCGCUACUCUGAGAGAUGUUUCCCCUUCAAAGUUCUAUCCCCAAAUGAGCUCCCUAUGCUGUCCUCCUUUAUAUAGUCUUGUUGUCUCCGCCCCCUUCGAAUUUAUUUUCCAUGUUAUUUUAGGUUUUAGAGUGUUCCCAAUUUGGUUUUUUGCUGUUUUGCUUUAUUACUAAUUGUUUUUUCUUCUUUUUACAGGUUUUUGCAGGUCCAGAUUAAGGUAAGUAUAUUGUGGUUGUUCCAAAUUUGGUUUUUACUAAUUGUGUUUUCUUUUUUGCAGGUUUUCCCGGUCCGGAUUAAGGUUUCCCCGGUCCGGAUUAAGGUAAGUGUUUCAGGUAAGUAUUGGUUUUCAGGUUUUACUUUUCUUUGUGUCCAAUUUUGUCAAACUUUUGGUGAAUUGUUUUAAACAUAAUUGUUCUUUGUGCUUCCAUCUUAGGCUUGACAUCUUCCCUGCCCAUAGAAGAAUCAGCCAACUUCUUGAAAUUAUUUUUCAUGUUAGCAAUUGGCGAUUGGCUUGAAUUAGCUCUGCUUGAGCUUACGCCGAUUUGGCAUCCUUCCCUUUAUUUAGAUUCAGAUUCGAUCUUAGGGGUAUUAUUAAACUUAAUUUAGCUUAUAGACCUGCCAAUGCUUUUUGCCUCAACUCCAAACUUUUUCCUUCUGUCAGAUUUUUCCUCAUGUUGUGGUUAAUAUUCAUCCCUCGAUUUAGGCUCCAAAUAAAAUUAUCUUUUAACAUCUUUCACCAAUGUGACUAUUUUUUAAGUAUAUGAAUUUUAAAACCUGAUCUCCAAUGAAUUCCCAUUAUUUUUAACCUUUGACCUUUAUAUUACCCAUAAAUUGCAAUCAUACUUGACCUUUGACCUCUUGUUUUUAGGUGUUUUUUCCUUUAAUUUUAAAUGUUUUUAUCUCCAAUUAUUUGGGUUUAGGGGAGGGUCCUUAAGGUUAGGGCCUAAGUAGUGGAUUGGGGUUAGGGUCAGUAAUUGGGGUUAAGAUUAGGGCUUAGGUGUUAGGGUAAGGGGCUCUGGUUAAGGUUAGGGAAUAGGAAUGGGUAAGGGUUAGAUUUUUUAGGAGGGGUGGGAUGCACCCGCCGAAGCUAAACGGAGGGAGGCACUGGCUGGUUAGGAUUUAGGGGAAAGCCCUCCAUUACAGAGGGCCCUGGCCCCCCAGGAAGCCAUAAGCUCCCUGAGGGGCCGGAAUGCACGGUCCAUCCCUCCGAAGGGCACCCCACCCUGGCUCUACUUGCCCUCAUCAGCUGCCCACUUAGGCUUUGUAUACAUAACAUAAUAAUGUUUUUUUAUGGUUGCUAUUUACUAUUUGUUUUUAUAUGUAUUAAAAUCAAAAACCCUAUUAUUUACCCUAUUCAUGUAGCCAUCCCAUAAUAGGCCUUUGCUGGGUGCCCUUAGCGCUACGUUUCGGCCCUAUUUUGGCCUUCAUCAGGCGUGGGUCACCCGCUACUCUGAGAGAUGUUUCCCCUUCAAAGUUCUAUCCCCAAAUGAGCUCCCUAUGCUGUCCUCCUUUAUAUAGUCUUGUUGUCUCCGCCCCCUUCGAAUUUAUUUUCCAUGUUAUUUUAGGUUUUAGAGUGUUCCCAAUUUGGUUUUUUGCUGUUUUGCUUUAUUACUAAUUGUUUUUUCUUCUUUUUACAGGUUUUUGCAGGUCCAGAUUAAGGUAAGUAUAUUGUGGUUGUUCCAAAUUUGGUUUUUACUAAUUGUGUUUUCUUUUUUGCAGGUUUUCCCGGUCCGGAUUAAGGUUUCCCCGGUCCGGAUUAAGGUAAGUGUUUCAGGUAAGUAUUGGUUUUCAGGUUUUACUUUUCUUUGUGUCCAAUUUUGUCAAACUUUUGGUGAAUUGUUUUAAACAUAAUUGUUCUUUGUGCUUCCAUCUUAGGCUUGACAUCUUCCCUGCCCAUAGAAGAAUCAGCCAACUUCUUGAAAUUAUUUUUCAUGUUAGCAAUUGGCGAUUGGCUUGAAUUAGCUCUGCUUGAGCUUACGCCGAUUUGGCAUCCUUCCCUUUAUUUAGAUUCAGAUUCGAUCUUAGGGGUAUUAUUAAACUUAAUUUAGCUUAUAGACCUGCCAAUGCUUUUUGCCUCAACUCCAAACUUUUUCCUUCUGUCAGAUUUUUCCUCAUGUUGUGGUUAAUAUUCAUCCCUCGAUUUAGGCUCCAAAUAAAAUUAUCUUUUAACAUCUUUCACCAAUGUGACUAUUUUUUAAGUAUAUGAAUUUUAAAACCUGAUCUCCAAUGAAUUCCCAUUAUUUUUAACCUUUGACCUUUAUAUUACCCAUAAAUUGCAAUCAUACUUGACCUUUGACCUCUUGUUUUUAGGUGUUUUUUCCUUUAAUUUUAAAUGUUUUUAUCUCCAAUUAUUUGGGUUUAGGGGAGGGUCCUUAAGGUUAGGGCCUAAGUAGUGGAUUGGGGUUAGGGUCAGUAAUUGGGGUUAAGAUUAGGGCUUAGGUGUUAGGGUAAGGGGCUCUGGUUAAGGUUAGGGAAUAGGAAUGGGUAAGGGUUAGAUUUUUUAGGAGGGGUGGGAUGCACCCGCCGAAGCUAAACGGAGGGAGGCACUGGCUGGUUAGGAUUUAGGGGAAAGCCCUCCAUUACAGAGGGCCCUGGCCCCCCAGGAAGCCAUAAGCUCCCUGAGGGGCCGGAAUGCACGGUCCAUCCCUCCGAAGGGCACCCCACCCUGGCUCUACUUGCCCUCAUCAGCUGCCCACUUAGGCUUUGUAUACAUAACAUAAUAAUGUUUUUUUAUGGUUGCUAUUUACUAUUUGUUUUUAUAUGUAUUAAAAUCAAAAACCCUAUUAUUUACCCUAUUCAUGUAGCCAUCCCAUAAUAGGCCUUUGCUGGGUGCCCUUAGCGCUACGUUUCGGCCCUAUUUUGGCCUUCAUCAGGCGUGGGUCACCCGCUACUCUGAGAGAUGUUUCCCCUUCAAAGUUCUAUCCCCAAAUGAGCUCCCUAUGCUGUCCUCCUUUAUAUAGUCUUGUUGUCUCCGCCCCCUUCGAAUUUAUUUUCCAUGUUAUUUUAGGUUUUAGAGUGUUCCCAAUUUGGUUUUUUGCUGUUUUGCUUUAUUACUAAUUGUUUUUUCUUCUUUUUACAGGUUUUUGCAGGUCCAGAUUAAGGUAAGUAUAUUGUGGUUGUUCCAAAUUUGGUUUUUACUAAUUGUGUUUUCUUUUUUGCAGGUUUUCCCGGUCCGGAUUAAGGUUUCCCCGGUCCGGAUUAAGGUAAGUGUUUCAGGUAAGUAUUGGUUUUCAGGUUUUACUUUUCUUUGUGUCCAAUUUUGUCAAACUUUUGGUGAAUUGUUUUAAACAUAAUUGUUCUUUGUGCUUCCAUCUUAGGCUUGACAUCUUCCCUGCCCAUAGAAGAAUCAGCCAACUUCUUGAAAUUAUUUUUCAUGUUAGCAAUUGGCGAUUGGCUUGAAUUAGCUCUGCUUGAGCUUACGCCGAUUUGGCAUCCUUCCCUUUAUUUAGAUUCAGAUUCGAUCUUAGGGGUAUUAUUAAACUUAAUUUAGCUUAUAGACCUGCCAAUGCUUUUUGCCUCAACUCCAAACUUUUUCCUUCUGUCAGAUUUUUCCUCAUGUUGUGGUUAAUAUUCAUCCCUCGAUUUAGGCUCCAAAUAAAAUUAUCUUUUAACAUCUUUCACCAAUGUGACUAUUUUUUAAGUAUAUGAAUUUUAAAACCUGAUCUCCAAUGAAUUCCCAUUAAUUUUAACCUUUGACCUUUAUAUUACCCAUGAAUUGCAAUCAUA